GUGUCCCCUUGAGGAGUAUGGCGAAAGGGAAUCCGGUACUCAUUCCGGAACCUGGACAUGAGGAGUAGUGUUGCUUCAUGCAUCACCUAGCCGUAAGGCGUUUACCAUCCUGGAGAAUCCAACCAGAGGGCCGGGAAGAGUUUUCUUUUCUGCUUAAGGGACAGAGGGCCUUGUGAACUGGGUCGGUCAGAGAGAGGGUCUUUGUCCCGAAUAGCGCCGCGGUUCUUGCGGAGUCCAGCUUCUCUGGUGUGGAACUUGAAAAUCCAGGGGUAAGAAUGAAAUACCUUCAUGCCAGUUCGUACCCAUAUCCGCAUCUGGUCUCCAAGGUGAACAGCCU
rnacentral:rRNA from 1 species